UCGAACGUGGUGUAGCGUACACGGCGGGCUUGUUUGCCUUUGUACCUUCCAAACUUACAGCCCGCAGCUCGGGGUUCGACUCCCCGCGUUCGAA